rnacentral:rRNA from 1 species
GGAUGCCUACGGGGCGCAGCAGUGGGGAAUAUUGCGCAAUGGGCGAAAGCCUGACGCAGCGACGCCGCGUGAGGGAUGAAGGUCUUCGGAUCGUAAACCUCUGUCAGCAGGGAAGAACGGUCACUGUGCUAAUCAGCAGUGAAUUGACGGUACCUGUAAAGGAAGCACCGGCUAACUCCGUGCCAGCAGCCGCGGUAAUACGGAGGGAGCGAGCGUUAAUCGGAAUUACUGGGCGUAAAGCGAUCGUAGGCG